rnacentral:rRNA from 1 species
AUUGAACGCUGGCGGCAGGCUUAACACAUGCAAGUCGAGCGGAGUGAUGGUGCUUGCACUAUCACUUAGCGGCGGACGGGUGAGUAACGCUUAGGAAUCUGCCUAUUAGUGGGGGACAACAUCUCGAAAGGGAUGCUAAUACCGCAUACGUCCUACGGGAGAAAGCAGGGGAUCACUUGUGACCUUGCGCUAAUAGAUGAGCCUAAGUCGGAUUAGCUAGUUGGUGGGGUAAAGGCCUACCAAGGCGACGAUCUGUAGCGGGUCUGAGAGGAUGAUCCGCCACACUGGGACUGAGACACGGCCCAGACUCCUACAGGAGGCAGCAGUGGGGAAUAUUGGACAAUGGGGGGAACCCUGAUCCAGCCAUGCCGCGUGUGUGAAGAAGGCCUUAUGGUUGUAAAGCACUUUAAGCGAGGAGGAGGCUCUUUUGGUUCCUACCCAAGAUGAGUGGACGUUACUCGCAGAAUAAGCACCGGCUAACUCUGUGCCAGCAGCCGCCGUAAGAC